AGUUAGUUGGUGGGGUAACGGCCUACCAAGACGACGAUCAGUAGCCGGACUGAGAGGUUGAACGGCCACAUUGGGACUGAGAUACGGCCCAGACUCCUACGGGAGGCAGCAGUCGGGAAUAUUGCGCAAUGGAGGAAACUCUGACGCAGUGACGCCGCGUAUAGGAAGAAGGUUUUCGGAUUGUAAACUAUUGUCGUUAGGGAAGAUACAAGACAGUACCUAAGGAGGAAGCUCCGGCUAACUACGUGCCAGCAGCCGCGGUAAUACGUAGGGAGCGAGCGUUAUCCGGAUUUAUUGGGUGUAAAGGGUGCGUAGACGGACUUACAAGUUAGUUGUGAAAUCCCUCGGCUUAACUGAGGAACUGCAACUAAAACUGUAAGCCUUGAGUGCAGGAGAGGUAAGUGGAAUUCCUAGUGUAGCGGUGAAAUGCGUAGAUAUUAGGAGGAACACCAGUGGCGAAGGCGACUUACUGGACUGUAACUGACGUUGAGGCACGAAGGUGUGGGGAGCAAACAGGAUUAGAUACCCUGGUAGUCCACACCGUAAACGAUGGAUACUAGGUGUAGGAAAUAUUAAGUUUUCUGUGCCGUCGCAAACGCAGUAAGUAUCCCACCUGGGGAGUACGGCCGCAAGGUUGAAACUCAAAGGAAUUGACGGGGGCCCGCACAAGCAGUGGAGUAUGUGGUUUAAUUCGAAGCAACGCGAAGAACCUUACCAGGGCUUGACAUAUAAGUGAAUAAUUAAGAGAUUAGUUAGUUCUUCGGAACACUUAUACAGGUGGUGCAUGGUUGUCGUCAGCUCGUGUCGUGAGAUGUUGGGUUAAGUCCCGCAACGAGCGCAACCCCUGUUUCUAGUUGCCAGCACGUCAAGGUGGGAACUCUAGAAAGACUGCCGUAGAUAAUACGGAGGAAGGUGGGGAUGACAUCAAAUCAUCAUGCCCUUUAUGUCCUGGGCUACACACGUACUACAAUGGCUGUAACAGAGGGAAGCAAGCUAGUGAUAGCAAGCAAAACCCAAAAAGCAGUCUCAGUUCGGAUUGAAGGCUGAAAUUCGCCUUCAUGAAGCCGGAAUUGCUAGUAAUGGCAGGUCAGCAUACUGCCGUGAAUACGUUCCCGGGCCUUGUACACACCGCCCGUCACACCAUGAGAGUUGGGGAUACCCGAAGCCUGUGAGCCAACAGUUUACUGAGGCAGCAGUC
rnacentral:rRNA from 1 species